GACGAACGCUGGCGGCGUGCUUAACACAUGCAAGUCGAACGGAAAGGCCCUGCUUUUGUGGGGUUCUCGAGUGGCGAACGGGUGAGUAACACGUGAGUAACCUGCCCUUGACUUUGGGAUAACUUCAGGAAACUGGGGCUAAUACCCGAUAGGAUCUCCUGCUGCAUGGUGGGGGUUGGAAAGUUUCGGCGGUUGGGGAUGGACUCGCGGCUUAUCAGCUUGUUGGUGGGGUAGUGGCUUACCAAGGCUUUGACGGGUAGCCGGCCUGAGAGGGUGACCGGCCACAUUGGGACUGAGAUACGGCCCAGACUCCUCCGGGCGGCAGCAGUGGAGAAUAUGGUACAAUGGGCGGAAGCCUGAUGAAGAAACGCCGCGGGUGGUAUGACGGCCUUCAAGUUGUCAACCGCUUUCGAGUGAGACGUAGCGAGAGUGACGGUAAUAAGUAAAGAAGCACCGGCUAACUACGUG
rnacentral:rRNA from 1 species